GAUGAAGAACGUAGCGAAAUGCGAUAAGUAGUGUGAAUUGCAGAAUUCAGUGAAUCAUCGAAUCUUUGAACGCACAUUGCGCCCCUUGGUAUUCCAUGGGGCAUGCCUGUUCGAGCGUCAUUUGUACCUUCAAGCUUUGCUUGGUGUUGGGUGUUUGUCCAUUCUCUUGCAGAGGGACUCGCCUUAAAGUAAUUGGCAGCCAGUGUUUUGGUUUUGAAGCGCAGCACAAGUCGCGAUUGAAAGCUAUACGCCCGCUUCCACAAGCCUUUUUCACUUUUGACCUCGGAUCAGGUAGGGAUACCCGCUGAACUUAAGCAUAUCAAUAAGCGGAGGA
rnacentral:misc_RNA from 1 species